rnacentral:lncRNA from 1 species
UUUCUGUUAGUUGCUGAUUUUCUAAGAAAGAAGAAAUUAUAUCAGUGAAGGAAAAACAUUCAAAGUAAAACUUCUUUUCAGUAGCUAAAUAUGAUGAUGACUAAGUGCCAAUUAGCCAAGUUAAUUCCUAUGGUUUUGAGGGGAAUAUGAGGUUUAACCUUCGCAUUGGGGGAUUCCCAUGUGAGAAGGUACUGGCUACCAAUCAAACUUCUUGGGCAAUCUCAUUGAACACUUACCUCGAAAUUUACCAAACCCACCUGAGAAAGUGAGCUUAGGUUCUCAUUACUUUUUAUUUGUAUCUAUCUUCCUGCUUCUGAGCUUGCUGAGAGGCCAGUACGCAAUGUACGAUAGGCCAGAAGCAACUGGGUGAGAGAGAAUUGAAACUCACAGCAACUCCUCUGGACCACUCCUCAGUCUUUUUCCUUUGCUGCUUCUUGCUGCCUUGCUAUACAUCCCACCAUCCCACUUCUGUCUGUUACCAGCAGUGUUAAAAUGACUUAAUCUUGCCAUUCUCUAUUGCCCUGUUUUCCUGAAUCAGUUUCAUCCUAUUCUCUCUUGGGAGUUCCUGCUCCAGAUGUGAUCUCUCUUCUUCCACUCACUCAAGAAUUUUGCACUUGGGACAUUGGACUCAGAGCCUUUGUCAUCCCUCCCUCUUGCUCCCAAAGACUCUGGUCCAGCUCCAAACUCCUCCCCACCAGGGUCCAAAGUCCUCUCCCCGGCCUCUUUUCCUGUGUUGGUGGGGAACGAACGACUGUCCCUUCUGGCCUUUCAUGCAGAAUAGGCUUGUGCCUAUUCCCUAGGAUAUACUCACCUUCACCAAAAAUAUUCUUUCUUCAGAUCCCUCCGUCAGAUUCUCGGACUGACCAGCCAGAUUUCAGGCAAGCCACAUUUCACUUCUUGACUACCUUGUCUUCUGCUGUGGAAAUGCCCCUGAUUAUUCUCCCUGUGCAAACUAGCAGUUUUGGUGUAUGCACAAGAGGAAUUUAAUUUUACACAAAAGCAAGUACUAGAGGGAAAUAAUUGGUGA